AUGAUUCUCACGGUGGCAGCAACAAUCUAUUUCUUUGCUGAAGUCGCACAAAUAAAGGGCGAAAGUGUAGAAUAUGUGCUCAAUUGUUUCUGUAUGGUGCAACAUAAUGACAAUGGCCAAUGCUAUGGUUGUACGACUUAUGGAAAUGUUGAUUUGAAGCACCCUGUCAAUGCUGAUCAAUACGAAGGUCGCCACUCUCGCCCGCACAAAACAUGGUGCGGUUUCGUCCAUCCAGGCGUACCUGCAUACAUCAAGAAUGAGGACAGGCUGGCGGAUGAGGAGGCUAGGAUAAGACGUGUAAACAUGUGCCGUGAUGAACCUCCUAGUCUGGCAAAAUCGGAUGGUGCAAAAAUGCCUGCUGGUUUGGGCAAGAGAGAAGGUGAUGGUUUGGCCAAGAGAGAGGAUGCUUGUUUGGCCAAGAGAGAGGAUACUGGUUUGGCCAAAAGAGAUGAUGGCCAGGGAAGCGGGAAAUACAUUGUACCUGCCAGACGUCAGUUGGUUUGA
rnacentral:rRNA from 1 species